GAGCAGCUGCCCCACUGGGGGACGUGGGCAGUCACACUUCAAUCAGCACAGCGGCAGUUCAGAGUGCUGAAGUGGGGGGAUCCAUGGCUCAGGUGGGCUAUGUGACUUGGGAUGGGGAACACACUCCACUGCUAGCUUGCAGGUUAGCAGACUGUAGAGAGUGACCCUGGGAUAAGCUGGAACAUCCAUAUCACCGGGAACAGAGCAUCUAAAACUAGGGGAAGCAACCCAGUGCCAUGCAUAUGAUCCUGUCACAGUCUACAACAAAAAUGUUGUAUGAAUCUGGAGAUGACAAGAAAAUAAUCAGGCAGAGGCUGUAAAGGAUUCAGAGGAGAAAAAAACUGCACAGUAAUACUGCUGAGAGUGGCAGGGAAGGAGUGAAAAAAAGAGAGACUCUCCACCUUUACCGUACACAAACACAGUUCUAAAUACCAGGACAGGAAGCCAGCUUUUGCCUGAAGAAUCCAAGAUACUUUCAGUUUAUUGUUGUUUUUGCUGAAGACUGAAGAG